GGCUACCUGAAGGAGAUGCUUGCUACAGCUUUCCUGAGGUUAAAUCACCUGUCACAUUGUGGGCUUUCCACUGACACCAAGGAAAUAUCAACAAUGAGGAGGGGAUGAAGACGGGGAAGAAGGGAACAAAGUGCAAUUUGGACCAUAUUUAGUCCAUGAGGUUCCAUAUACAAAGUCCUUAGGCAUCUGAAAGCUGGUCUUUUCUGACACAGUGUGAUCUUCUUUCACUUGUUUGUAACAAUGGGCAACCAUUCUGACAAAAAAAAACAGCAAUUUUUCUUGUAACAAAAUUUUCUUCAUAACAAAACUAAACAAUAAUAUACAA